GACUCUCGGCAACGGAUAUCUCGGCUCUCGCAUCGAUGAAGAACGUAGCGAAAUGCGAUACCUGGUGUGAAUUGCAGAAUCCCGCGAACCAUCGAGUCUUUGAACGCAAGUUGCGCCCGAGGCCACUCGGCCGAGGGCACACCUGCCUGGGCGUCA
rnacentral:rRNA from 1 species